rnacentral:rRNA from 1 species
AUUGAACGCUGGCGGCAUGCUUUACACAUGCAAGUCGAACGGUAACAGGCCGCAAGGUGCUGACGAGUGGCGAACGGGAGAGUAAUGCAUCGGAACGUGCCCAGUCGUGGGGGAUAACGCAGCGAAAGCUGCGCUAAUACCGCAUACGAUCUAUGGAUGAAAGCGGGGGACCGAAAGGCCUCGCGCGAUUGGAGCGGCCGAUGUCAGAUUAGGUAGUUGGUGGGGUAAAGGCUCACCAAGCCAACGAUCUGUAGCUGGUCUGAGAGGACGACCAGGCAAACUGGGACUGAGACACGGCCCAGACUCCUACGGGAGGCAGCAGUGGGGAAUUUUGGACAAUGGGCGCAAGCCUGAUCCGGCAAUGCCGCGUGCAGGAAGAAGGCCUUCGGGUUGUGAACUGCUUUUGUCAGGGAAGAAAUCUUCUGGGCUAAUACCCCGGGAGGAUGACGGUACCUGAAGAAUAAGCACCGGCUAACUACGUGCCAGCCGCCGCCGUAAAAC